rnacentral:ncRNA from 1 species
GUUUUCAGGGCAGGGUGCGCAGCGAAGGCUGCAAUUCCCGACCGGCGGUGAUGGCCAUUGGCACGAGUCCGCGCGCGCUUCUUCCGAAGUGCUGAACCGGUGCGAUUCCGGUACCGACAGUAUAGUCUGGAUGAAAGAAGAUG